GUAGCUGUAAGCUUGCUUUCUCUGUGCAUUUUAAUAGAGAUCUUCUGCUAACUGAAGCCUCUGUGUGGCUCUGUAAUAGCCUCCUCUGUGCUGCCCUAGCCACAGCUCACCCUUUGCUGCACAUCUAGUACUGAGGGCUGGACCCGGCUUCUUUACACAGAGCCUUAACCUUGCCUUGCCCUUCCACCGCACAACAGCCGCUUUGUUUCCUUUCACUAAGUCAGACAUCACAAAUUCCUUCCCUCUAAAGCCAUUAAAACAGAAGCGGCACCACCCCAAGUGGUUUCAGAACUAACUGAUUUAGAUGCUGGAGUCUGCUGCAAGGCCAAAAAUAACUCCCCAUUUCUUCCUCCUUCAUUGGUGAAAGUAGGAGAGAAAGUGGCCAAUGACAGAGACACAAAUCCCCCAUAGGCAUCGGAGACAAAUCUAUUUUGUGGCAGGAAAAAAAAAUAAUGCUCCUGAAAAAUGUUUCUUUGCUCAGGCCAAUAGAUACAGACCUGCUGCAUGCAAUUUUGCUGAACCGAUGGUAUCACUUGAAUGGCUCACGGACUACAUAAAAUGCAUUACAUAAUUAUAUUUUUAAACACUGUCCCCAGCUGUGCUGAUGCACAUAAAAGCUGUGUUUACAAUGGACUCGGCACAUGUAAUUAUUUUGUGGCACUAGCUCUGUGCAUUUCCUUGAUGGAUGCUCCACGGUGCAUAAAAUUGUAGCUUUUAUCAUAGAUUCUUGAAUAUAUUCUUUGGCUGUUUCAGCUUUAAAUACUUUGUUGUCCUCGCAUGGGUGAACAGGACUGAUGCCUGGAAGGGCUAAAUUAUAGCAUCUGAGGGAACACCUUUAAGUCCUCUGGGAGCAGCAGAGAGGGAAGCAUGAUGAGUGUUGGAGUUGAGGCACCUGGGUCACGGGAAGCACUGAGCAGCAGAGCCGGCUGCUCCUCGGUGAGAGCCUUCCUGUGCUGCUCCUGGGGACAGAGGGAGGGCCCUGCCCCUAUUUGACCUGCACAGAUUCAUCCCAGCCUGCUCAGUGCUGCACCAACCCAGCCUCUGUGGGAUGGGGAGGCUCCAUAAGGCCUGGUGAAAGUGGGAGCAAAGGGGCUCUUGGCUGUCGGUGCCAAGUCAAACAGAACACAGCCCGGCCUGCUGGGAUCAAAGAACAGCUUUGAUUUAUCUUCCACCCUGUUUGUUUACAGCGAGCGAGCUCCCAGCAUUUCACUGUGAGCUCUCCCUUCUCUGUUCUCCAUCCAGUUGUGGAAUACCAAGCAUUGUUUUAUCCUAGUGCAGUAGCUGAUGCAUAGGACCCAGUGAAGAGUACAGUGGGAUAUUUAUUUAGAUCUGUUCCUGUGUUCUUGAGUAUUAAUAACGCUGUGAAAACCUAGAUGCUGGAAGGAUUGGUACAUAACACAGUCCAAAAGUUUUGCCUGCCAAGCAAUAGCACUUGGAAAUAAAUAGAGACAAAAAGUAAUACAAUAUCCUGAAGAACAGCUUCAAAAUGAUGCAAGAGCAGCACCACAUGUGCACCUUUCAUUUUUUUAACUAUUGCCACAAAGAACUGGUAGAUUUUACUGUUGAUAAGCAAAAUUUUUUGGCAUCUUAAUCCCUGGCUAACCUGAGAUAUGAGACUCCACAAAGGAAAUGAGCAAUUUGUGGGGAACUGUUUCUUAAUGGCAGGUGUUUGGUUGGAAAUCAGGUUUGCCUUCUGGUAGUAGAUAACUUGAAUUCCUUUGUUAUCAUUCCUUGCCCUUUUCAGUCCUGUGUUUAGUCAUGGGAGCUGGAAGCCUAUGCUUCCCCGAGCACAGUUGUACCAUGUAAACUAUUAAUUGGUCUAAUGCCAACAGUGAUCAAAUUAUUCCAAAGCAAAUGGCCUGACUGUUGGUAAACCGAGUUUUCCACCCUCACAUGAAUAUAUGGGCUUCUCCUGUCAUGGAAACUCUUCAGCUAUGGAUGUCCUUAGCAUUCCCUAUGUUUGGCAUGUGAAGUUUACAUAGCAGCUUCUAGCCUGUUGAUGCAUUUUGCACCAAAGUGUCAGGUGACGGAAGAACAAUCUUUGGAGUGGAAAAAAAAAUGUGGAACCACAUAAGUUUAUUGUAUGUUGGUUUGCAUAGCCUGCCUUUCAGAUAAACCUUAUCCCUGGCAAGUGUACUGGUACUUGAAAAAGAGUCCUUGAAUAACCUGCAGAGAAGCUGAACCACCAGAGAGAUGCUACUUUGGAAAAGCAAGCAGAGGAAGGUACCAGAAGCAGUGCAGAGGAAACACUUCUGAAGUAAGCCCCCUGGUAUUAUUCAUAUGUGUGUCCAUCCUGUUUCUGCAGCACAAGAUGUUGUUAUUUCAUUAGAGAUAACAUGGCUUGUGCAUAUGAAAUAAGGGUACAUUUCUCACUGAGUAGGACACCUUUCUUUCUCAUCUUAAUGAAGUAUGUGAUUAUUAUCUUCUAAAAGGGCUUAUUUCUUUCUACUCCCUUCUCUAGUCUAUCAGCAUCUAGGCCAGAAUAUGUUUUACAAAUAUGUGAUCAUCUUAGAAAAAUCUGUGUAACUCCUUGUGCUGUGAGAUAGAGCCACAACUUAAGCCAGUGGAGGAUCCAAGUCCUCGGUAUCUUAUGUAGAUAACAUAGAUAACAUAGAUAAACUCCAAAAUUUGUGAUCGAGGAAGAAAUACUUUGAGGUAUAACAUGCUUGGAUGGUUACUCUUCCACUAGUUACAGUCCUUUGCUGCAGCCACUUGUGCAAGACUUUUGUGUUUAUCUUUAUGUACAUGGAGAUAAGAGCUCAUCUUUUGCAAGACAUUAGGUGUUGCAUACAGAUGAGAGCAGGAAUCCACACUGAAGUUAGUGCAAGUUUGCAGUUCAACAGGAAAAAAACCAGUCCUCCUAAGACUACUGUUUGAACCCUGAUCUUUGCCUUUUGUGUCUAAGUCACCAGAAGCUUCUGGUUCCAAAAUCAAAAUAUUACUUUGAGAAGUCACAGUUCAGUGUAAAUGAUGUCAUGGCUAUAGGAGUUGAGGCAUCAUCUUUGUUGCAUUAAGUCCCUCUUGGAAAUGUCUAAUAAAGCCAGAAGGAAAAUGGGACUUAUUUUACUGAUUUUUGAGUACUUUAAUUCCAUUCUUGCUAUAUUAUUAUCUGUGAGAAGCUUUUUUUUUUCUUUUUUUUUUUAAUUAUAUAAAGUUCUAUCACUAUAUUAUCUAAGCAGCAAAGUACUCAAAUUAUGUAAGUUGUACAUAAUAGGAUGUCUGUAAAACUUUGCUCCUUUCAGCUUUGGAAAUGUCUGUAUUGCUCUUCUCUGGUGACUCAGCUAAACAUCUCCCAUAUGAUCUAGGAGAAUGUGUGGUGUGGUGGGAUUUCCACCCUUUGAAGGAAUGUAUCCUAGUCCUCAGCUAUGACCACAGCUGCAGCCUUGCUCUCUUCCCACAUGCCCUGGACUUUUCUGGGCAGUCUUUAACCACUGAUCAGUGAAUGCAUGCUGCAGUCCCUGCCAUGCAUUUAAGAUCUGUCUAUCUAGGAAUAUUUACCCAAUGUUUUCAGAGCAAAAAAAUCCACCUUUUGAUUUGCACAGCAGGAGCAUUUGCCUGUUGUACCAGAUAGCAACCUCAAUAUGUACUUUCACGGUCUGAUUCUUCUAGAGGGUGUUUUUGGCCCAUAAGUGGUGUUUGAAGAAUAUUUCUACCAGUACUAUUUUUAUGAUAUGUCUCUCGUCAUGGUGCAUUGCUAACCAUAUGGCCAAGUACAGUUUAUGCAGCUACAUGGUGAGGUUUACUGCCCAGCAGGCAUGAGAAGCAUUUAUUUUGAAUAGAUGUGUAUUGAGGAAAAGAAACAUUCUGCUUCAAAGGUACAGGCUUAGGACUUUUAUUUCUUCUCUUGGUUCUCCCUUGGUUUUAAAUGAGGUUCAGCAUCUCUCCCUUGGAAUCUCACUGCAAUAAUGUGGGCUCAGAGCAGCUGUUUUUACUUUGCCUUGCUGAUGGCUGGCAGGAGAUGAAAUAUGGAGGAGUAAAUUCUGCCUGGCUGCUACAGGUUGCAUCAUAGAAUCACUGACUGGUAGGUCUCUGAGAAUUGUUACUGAUAGCUAGAUUUUAUCUUGGUAGGGGUAAGAGCUCAUGAAACAGGAUGACUCAAGGAAUGACUAAUGAAAGCUUUAUGAUGAAACUUCUGUCUUAAGGCGUAUCAGCUGUGACCAAAAAUUAAAAUCAGGGUGUUAUUUGACAGUCUAGGGUGAGUGAGCAGAUGCCCUGAGUCUAGCUUCUUGUAGAAAUAUGUCUUCAAUGUAAAAUCCACUAGUUCAGCUUCUUUCAGUUAAUGUCAGUGGGGAAAGGCACAAAUGGUGCACUGUGCUGUUACCCUUCAAGUGGCUUCUCCCCUUUAGAGCUGGGCCCUUUAAUGAGCAGAUGACAUUGCCAUUACUUUGUGGUUUUCUCUUUUGUAAAUAAAUCACUGCAGUCAGGUGUAUCCACACAGCUUUGUGUGUUCAUAAAGGUCUCUCAGAAACAGUUCCAGCUGCUCAGCUGGUACUACAUUAUCAAUACAAGCAACAUAAUGUUUAGGUGGACCUCCUAUGCAAAUGUCAUGGGGAGUCCCCCUGUCUGACUCUAAUUUAUGCCUCUACCAGAAUAUCUUUCUUCAGCCCCUUGAUCCCAGGCCCUGGAAUUUACAGUGUUUUACAAGUACCUUUGCUUUUCUUGUGACACCAAUAGCUCUCUACAAUCCCAAAUCAUUAGUCACACACCUAAGUCAAUGUGGAGGUGUCACCUAAUGCUUUGAAUUAGCAGUGCUCAGUAAAAUUACCUCCUGCCUUCUUGUGCCAGUGGUCACAUUUUCUGUGCAGCAACAUCUGAUUUCCCCAUUUCUGCCAUCAUUUUCCCUGGGGAAGAACAAGCUCCCCUUUUGGGCAGGGUACAAAUGAGGCAGGGCUUGUUCAAGGUGUGGGGGUGUAGAAAGGGGACAUUUGCAAGUUUUGCUCCAGGCAGUCAGGAGAUGAGAUGGGGAUCAGGGAAGUCAGAGGUUUAGCCUUGGCUCUGAUAAUGAUUUUCUGUGUGGCCCUUUGUAAGCUCUUUCAUAUUUCCACCUCAUUUUUCCCAACCCUAUAAUGGAGUUCAAAAUCAUCACUUCUCUAACACCUCCCCCUCCACACACACACACACACACACACACACAGAGUUGUGAGGAGGUUUAAUGUUUAUCUCAGAGGCUUUGUACAGUAUCAUACAUCCAGGCAGUAUAUACAGGCAUUGAGACCCCAGAAUGAGCUUUAGAAAAACAUCAGUAAAGAAAAUAGCAUUUAUAUUUUAAUCUUAUUAAUCAUAAAUUUGGGAUUGGAAUAAGUGAUUAACAAACCUGCAAAACAAGGUUUAUUUCAGUGGCUUGAGCUGCUUUCUAGUUCUGUUUGUGUACGUCAAAGUGAUGUUCAGUCUUUUUAAAUGAGUCACAGGACUGGAAGAACAAAAAUAUUUGAUGGUAACAUAUAGCAGCAAAACAAUUACCCUUUUUAUUCUGACAGGCAUCAUAACCAGAAUAGCAAGUUAGAGCUAGAGGUCUAGGCUAGUAGUUUCUUUGCACAUAUCAGGGAUUUUAGAUCUGCUUGCAAGACAGUGAAACAGAACUGAAAUGUCAGAAAAAUUAGAAGAUAACACUAGAUUAAACAAUAAAAGCAAGCAUGCCAGUUAGGAUACAGCUAUUUACAUUUAUAAAGGUGCUACUGAUCAGUGAGUCCAUGCAGUAUUCUCACACAGCACAGCCUUGUCUAGCAGCUUUCUGUACCUUUAUCCAGAGGAGACUCCUUUCCACCCUGCUUGCUGCAUUGCACCACUGAUUUAGUGAAGACAUCAUCCUCAUAAGGAUGCUCUUCUAACUCACCUCUGAAAUCCGCUUGCUUUUCUCCUCUGACAAUUAGGUUUAAAUGUGCUGCAGUAAAGUACUCAUCCUUAGCAGUCGUAUGGCUUUUUAAGUGAUAAACUGCAUUAGCAAAUUUCUUAUUAGAUAAUCUAUCAAAUGAGGUCAUACAUAAUUUUAGCAGUCUCAUCUUGAUUUAUAGCAUGAUCACAGCAAAUUAUGCAUACACAAACCAGCAUGCUGGCUGUCAAAGUCAGGUAUUUUUACUCUGCUGAAGAACCUCUUUCCAGGCCAGCCCAGUGGCCUACCGGUAGCACCCUGCGUCUCCACCUUGCCCAGUUUGUGGGACAGCCCUCAGGCUCACCCCUCACCUCUCAUUAGGACUGAGGAGAGUUGGAGGCAGGAGGCUAAAUCCUUGCUUCGUGCUUCACAACAAUAAUCCUUACUGGUGUUUAUUCUGACAGGUUUUCUGUACUGCCCUUAAGUGAGGACAUAGGCUCGCUGGGAAGGGGAAGCUUAUACAUGGGGAAACUGUGUCUGCAGGGUGCUGAUCUGCUCCCCAGCUCCCUUCUGUGUUCCCAAGGGAAUGAGAAGCGAGCUGGAGUGAAUCAUCAGGCAGCAUUGCGCACGGCUGUAGCAGAGUCUGCUUCCCCGCCCGGGCUGCUCGGGCCAGCAGAGGCUUGGUCACCGCAGCCAGCAGCCCUGGGGGAGGCAGGCUCCGCUCCUGCCAUCUGCACUGGGGAGCCACGGCACCUGCCUCGCUACCAGCACACCCGAGGGGCACAGGGAAAGAGGGGAAGAAGCUUCAGGAACAAAAGCAGUUUCUCAAUGGCCCUUUGCCAGUGCUGCUGAACUGUCACUCACUGUACCCGGGGUCUAGUCCCACACUGCAGGUAAAUUGCUCCUGGGAUCCAGAAGGGACAAGAUUCCUAUCCCCUGGCUUCAAACUUCUGCAGAAAACACCUCAUCCACUGAGAUCUAUCUGUGUAUCUACAAUAGGGAGGAGCCACAAUAAAUGAUCUGAUCUUGCCUUUCUCUUCACCUUCUCUCACCUCACAUUGCUUUUUCUAGGGUUUGAGCUGUGCGAAGUGGCCAGAGUACGUGUCAUCUGCAUGGCUCUGAAUAAGCUAUGGCUUUCCCACUGGACUUGUGGCCAAAGCCUGCCCAGGAAGGAUCAAGUGUGUGUUCCUCAGCAUUCCAGGUGUCUGCCCCUAAACUGUAGAAUGAAAUGAAAAUCUGAAUAAAAAUUUCCCCAGGGAAUGUAACAUCUUAAAGGCCUAACUAUCACUACAUGAAAUUUUCUUGAAACAAUUAGUACAUAGAUCUCCAUGUUGUCUCCACAAUAGUAUUCCUGGAGUGAGAGACUGGAAGAAAUCGAAAUCAUUUAUCAAAAUGAGCAAGCAAGGGGCACGCUUUCAGCAACUGGCAUUUCUGUUUGGCACAUGCUCUGGUAAUUUUGCCUAAUCCUGCUGAAUGAGCUUUUCAUGUAUAUAUGUGUGUGUACGCAUAUCUGUCAUGAGUAAAAUCUAUUGUAUCCUCAGUUGACAAGCUGUGUUUGGCAGAUUGCAGCAUGGUUUGGGAAAAGAAAUUCAUGACCCAGGCUAAGAGUAGAGUAUAGGACUUCCCUCUGGAGCUCAACAUCCAGAACAGCAGCAGCAGCACUGCCUCCCCAUGCUGGUACCAGCACCAGUCCAGGGCCCCUCUUCCUUUCCCCCUUUUUACCCCUGCCAGGGUGGCUGAAGAUGCAGCAGAGAGGAUGAUGAGAAGGGGCUUGUUUCUUUGGGUCACAGUUUUACAGUGAAAAUUUGGUGAGUGAUGGAGCUACUACCCAGGUUGUGCCAGCCCUGCAGCGAGGCUGUGCCACAGGAUGGAGAGGAGUGAAUGGGCAGGACUAGAGAGCUGGCUGCAGAAUGGGUGAAUGGAACCCCCCCAGCACCCGAAGAGAAGUGCUGAAGGAGGGCGAGAGGCUCUGCAGACACCCCCCCGGGACCCCCAGCACCGCCUUGCCAACAGCAGCCUCUCCCCUGGCUCCGCAGUGCAAGGGCACGUCCCGCUGAGCAGCGCUGGCUGAAAUCAGAGCUGGAAGCAGGGCACAGAGUCCCUUUGGUGCAGCGGGCACCGGGUCCCCGAGCGCCCUGCCCGGCCCCGGACAGGGACCCUCGGGCAGGGAGGGAAGGGGGCACAGCACCAUCUCCCCACCUGGCCUCUGGGGGGUCGCUGGGGGAGCAGCCGGGGCACCCCGGCUCCGUGGGGCGAUGGGGCCCCCCCAGCAGCCCCGGUUGGCCGCUCCUUCCGUAGACCUGCCUCUGCAGAGGUGUUCGCAGCCAUUGGCACGGGCGCUGCAGCGCCGGUUGCCUGGCAGCAGGAACGCGUCCUCUUCCCCGCGACAAACAGCAUCUCCAUCGACCCGGACCUCCUCCCGCUUCAAAUGUCUGCCCAAGCCGGAAAGCUCAGCAAGGGGAAAUGCAGCUCGCCGAACUGAGUGAGGGAGCCCCGUUUCUUCACUGGGAUAGUGCAGGGACCCUUGCACUGAUCAGCUGCCCCACAGGUGAAUUCAUCCAGAGCCACAAGCAAAAUUCCGUGGGCUUAGCCAUUCAGCCCGGAUUAGCACUAAGAGAACAAGCUCCCUUAAAGAAACACAUGCUGAUUACAUGAAUAUUUAGCUUUAUACAAAACUGUCAGAUGAAAAGUGAGUGUGAAGCUAAGCCCCAGGUCUGCCUUUUUGUGUCUGGGUUUUUGGGUCCUGCUGAAAACACACCAUCGUGCUUGAUGUGCUGAAAGAAGGCAAAGCAUCGUAUCUGAGCAGGAGCACAGCGUUGCUCUGGGUCUCGGUGCCUUCCAAAGCAUGUGCAGGGCGUUUAUCUGCCUGCCGCUGCAUCCAGCUGCUGUGCUCUAGGAACUCUGCUGCUGAUACCGCAGCAAGCACAGGAUGAGGAAUUUGAGAGACAGAAAUCACCAACUUCAGAGAUAUCCAUCUUCCUUAAAAAAAGCAAGCCAUUAUGAGUCAGGCAGAUUAUCUGCCAGCAGCCCACUGAAGAGAGUUGUCUUCUGCAGAGGGGUGGAGGACGGGAGCAUUCCUGAUGAGUGCAGCAAGGGCGAGGGGACAGGCUGGCAAUGGAAGGGGAGAACAGAGCUGCUGCAGUCUCCAUGCCAGGGUGCCAGUGCUGUGCAUGGAGCACGUGGGAGAAAAAGUUAGUGGACUCUUUGCCCAGGGGACUGCGAUGUACUGCAAGGCUGUGGAUUUGGGCUGCUUAGGCUCUGGGAGAAGCCGGGUUUGAUGAAGUGCCAAGGUGCCCAGCAGUGCUGAGCUCCACAGCACCACAGCUGACCACUGAGCUGGGGGGUGAACUCCUCCAUGCUGGGGUGCAGUUAUUUGUAUGGACAGAGUACAAUAACCCUCUCUUCCUGCCCGCAGGAAGUCUGAAAUUGCCACGGCCCCAGUUAUUUUCUCAGUCAUCUAUGAAACAGAAGAUUUGUCUUGACGAGGCUCAAGCUACAUGAAAGCAGUCACACUAGGUGCAGAGGCAGCUCCCUUCUGACUUGACAUGAUCUGAGAAUAAGUAUCCUGCCAUCAAGGAGCUGCAGCUUCAUCCUCAGGAACAUCAGCAUCAGCCUACCCCACCUAGAGCUGAGGCUCAAGGCCAGGGCAAAACGAGAGGAGCAGAGACCAGUCGCAGGGAGGGACCUGGCAGAGGAGCACAGCAGCUCAUCCAUUUUCAGGUGAAGAAGGACAUCCUUAGUGGGUAAUGCACGAGAGGAGCUGUGGCACAGGGGUAGAGCUGUUCAGGUUGGAGGAGGGUAGGGAGGAAGGGCUGCUAUUUAAUUGCCAGCCCUGGUUCUAUCUGCAAAUAGGAGGCCGAGCUGUCACUGGUGUGCAAAGUAGCAGAUGGCCUAAUUGUGAGAUUUCUCCCUUGCAAGAGCAAAAUGCUAUGUUGUUUUUAACAUCCUUGCCUAGAGCUAGCUUCAGAUACAACCAAGAUAUAUUGUGCUAGAAAUGUGCUCUAGUGAUAAUCAGGAGAAAACUGUGCUUGAAGUGAGAUUUAAAAAAUAAUUAUUAUGGCCUAUUGCUGUUAGUCACACGUCUCAAAAGCUGAUCUGGCUAAAAGAGCUUUCCAAAGCAUCUUCUGCUCGACAGAUCAUCUGGAAAUUAUUCCAUCAUUGUGUCACCAUGUCUCGCCUUAUAACCCCCAGGACAUUGUCUGUGUAUGCACACCAUUUCUUCCCUCUUUCUGACAGAAAACAAUUCUCUCCAGCUUCUGAUUUUUCUCAUGCAGCUUCAGCAGGUUGUGUGCAGCAGUUUCUGGUCUUGGCCAUUUUGCUGGAGAGCACAGGACUUCCAUGAAGCAUGGCCCACCUCAUUUCUCCUUGGGUGCCUGUAAGAGCUCAGUGCUCUGCAGAGCUCCAGGCCUGCAGGCAGAGACAGCAGAGCUCUCCAGCGUCACACUAACACCAGGUGCUUGAAACUUUAUAUUGAAGGUGCAGGGCUGUUACUGGUGAGUCGUUAUGGCAGGUGCAUUUUGUCAGCUUCAGCUCUGAUCUGAAAUCAGGGGAGAGGGCAGCACUUUUCCCAGCUGGCUCAGGUUUGCAGAGAAAACUCUGGUAAGGACUUCUGUGGAGAGAAAACUUUGGCUAACCUGUAAAUCUGCUUAGUGUCACUAUUCAAGCAAGGGCAAAACCUAGGGCAAGGAUCAGCUUGGAAUGGAAUCAAGUGAAUGCUGUGUUUGAGGACAGAAGCCCUUGUUGAUUUUUUUUGCAGGCCACUGACCAUAUUUUUAAGGACUUUUGCCUGCUAUGUAUAGAAUGUGCUGCCUUUUUCUGACAGGCCUUUAAACUUUGUGAUGUCUGUUGGGGUUUUCUGGUAAUAAAAGGGCUUUAAUGGGUUAUCUGUAAGCUUUGCCUCUUAAGUAUGGGGAUGUAUUAAAUCUUCUUUAAAUCUACCUUUCCCUUACUGUCCAUCUUCAAAAGACUCUUAUCCGUGCAAAAGAUGCCUGUGCUGCAGCAGUCUGUCCUUCCCAUCCUUUCCUCUGACUUUCUUCUCCGGUUUGCUCAGAAGUCUCCUGCUAGAAAUCCCCCAGCUGUGACACACCAGCCCAUCUCCCAGAUCCCACUGAUUUCACGUCUCUCUCAGCCUCCAUGUAAAUCUCCCUAUCUCUCCCUUCAAGGUCCUCUGUAAGUUACUUUGCCUUUAAUCUCAUUCCUCCCACUCCUCCUCCUAUUCUCCCAGUCAUCUCUCUUUCUGCUCAUUUAAUCUUGUUUUUGGAUGGUUCAAUCUUGCUUUUUUUCUUCAUAGUCCUCAGACACCUCAAUUCAUCUCCCAAACACUUUUCUUCUUCUUCUGUCAACUCUACCUUAAAUCCCUUUUUCUUCCUUGCUAGCACUAACUCACCACAUGCCCUCAUGCAGAGUCAUCUGAGCUGCUGUCCCACUUGGUUUUCCUGGAGUGCACAUUCUUCACACCAGGAAUUUGUGGUUUUCCUACAGUGCACACCCCACAGAUACAAACACACAAGGGUCUUUUGAUGAACAGCAGUGGCUGGUAAGUAACCAUGCCUUAUUAAUCCCAUUGCUUGUAUGACACACAAAAAACUUUCUCCAUCUGGCUAAUGAGGAAUCUUUUCUGUUAAUGUGAAGGCAAAUUUUGAAUGCUCCAACUAGGUAAAGACAUAAAAAUGAGUGUAAUUUCAACUUAGAGUGACUGAAACUUCCUAUAGGUGGCAAAGACAUAUGAGGGACAUAAGAAGCAGCCUAUUAAAGAGGUUUGGGGGUCUCACUUCUACAUUGUUUUGCACUAGCACAUCAUCAGUGCCUGCAUCCAAGUCGCCUUUAACAUCUUUACAUUCCUGCACAUGACAAAUAAUAGGGACUAGCUCCCACAGAGCAGAGGAAAUACAGCAGCAAGUGUCUCACGUCCAUUUCUCAACUGUCAUCAAAUAGCUUUUAUUCAUGGCAUAGCACAAGUGUCAGCCAACUGGCAAAGGCAGCCUGUAUUAAAAAUGUUGGGGAUUAUUCAUGUCAACAGACACAGGGGAGCUUUUCUCAGUCAGUGGAUCUGCACUAGCUGAGGUAUGAAAAUGCAGCAGGUUCUCUACAGUAAUCUCAAAUCUGAAUAACUUCAGAAGGAGGCCAGCAGCAGACUGCCAUUUCCAAGUACAAUUAAAAGCAAUCUAACACAGUUAGACCAGAGCUUGGAUGGGGGAGAGGUUUAACUGGGUGGUUAGAUAGAAAAGGCUGUACCAUAAGGAUGUUAUCCAGAAAGACUGAGGGGGUACUUUUUAAAAAAGCUCAGAUUGAAGAUGGUCUGGAGGUUGUGAGCUGAUGGUGGCUCUUUAGGUUUGCUUCUGAUUACCCAAUUAGCUGUUAGGUACUUAGUCUGCUUGAUUGGAGGCAUUUCCUGCACUGUUUCGAAUGGAAUUUCUGUGGGCCACGUGAUUUGUCUUUUAUGGACAAGGAGCAAUUUGGAAAUGGAAUGAUUCUUUCUCUUUUUAAAAGAUUAAAAAUUAACAGCCCUGUUUAACUGAAAAUAAUGUUUAUUAAAUGUUUGAGACUUUUAAUAGGCAAAAAUAUAGGAUGGACAUAAGCAAUAAAAUUGCUUAUCUUUAAAAACAUCAUGUAAAGCUGGAAAAGAAUGGAGGUUUCAGAUGUCUCAGGUUAACUAUUAAGGACAAAUCUGUGACUGGUAUUUUGAGUCCCACUGUAUUUGCAAAAGACUAUUUUAUUCUGUCAUCUUGCAUUUUGAAAUGGUUGCUUUUAAAACAUAUGGCCUGCUUCUUUUCCCCCUUGGUUAUUUUUGACUAUUUUAAUUCUCUGAACUCCGUGAUGUUAUGUGGAUAUGAAAUCAGGAGCAAUUUAAGUGGAAAAUAAAAAAUUAAGGCCUAUGCAAGUCAUCAUGAGUAAGGUGACCUGAUCUGCUCUGACACAGAUCUAUGUUCCACUUCUGCUUUGGAAAACUUUGGAUACUGUAUUUUUGUCAAAACCUAAUUUCUGUACGAAUGUGUGAUGCGGAAGAAACCCAACCAGCAAAACCCUGAGAUGAAUCCCAUGGCAUCUCCAUGACAACAUAUAGAUGCACAGUCUGCUGUAUGCAUCCUUACUGGCAGACUGACUGCUCCUAGCUUUUUCCCACGCUGAGCUGAAAGGCAGACUGACCAACAGGCUGCAGAGGAUGUUGCUGGGAUUUAAAUGUGGAAACUGAAGAUCAUGUUUCAUUCAGGGUAAACCAGAGGCAAAUGCAGCAGCCUUACAGAAGAAGUGAGCCUUGCACCACAGCUUCCCUUGCUGAGGCUGCUUGGUCAAGUAAAGGAACAGGCACUGGCAGGUCUCCACUGAGUCUGAAAAUUCAUGUGGAGGACCUUUGCAGGGCUCUGAAAGUCUUGCCAAAAGCUUGUCAGUGUGACUUACAAGCAUAAUGAGAUAAGAAUGGAAGGCAAUUUGGGUUAAUAAGUUAUCCUGAGAGGGGUGUUUUUUCCUGCACACAUAGAAGGAAAGGGAGAGCGAUCCAGCCCUCUCUGCCUGGUGAAGAACUCUGAACUCUGUGUUGAGCGGUUUUCUUUCCACUCCCUGGCAAUGUGUAGGAAACCAGGGGGCCAAACCAGUGGCAUGUUUCAUGUUAAAUACAACAGUAAAUGUGGCCAUGUCAUCUCCUUGCCUCCCAGCAGUCAGGGACAUGACCAUGGGGUCAGGAGACUGUCCCCAGGGCUGCCCCGAAAGGCAGGGAGUGCCCCCAUGCAGCUGCAAAGCUGUUCUGCAUCUGCCCUGGGCGCUGCUGCUGCUGCAGGGCCCCAGCUCCAGGCGCUCGCGAGUUCCAGCAGCACGGGAAGGAUGCAGCGGCUGGGAUGGCAGAGCAGCGAUGGAUGCAGUGAAUCCCCCCCUCCUGGCUUUCUUCCUAGCCUGUGCUUCCCCCUGCUCCAUCCCCCCCACGCCAGAGUGGGUGACAGGACUUGAGCGCAGGGCAAGGGGCCUGGCCAUGGCCAUGGUGGGGCCGGGCAGGCACACGCCGCUCCCGCCAGGCAGCUGAAGUGCUGUAAUUUCAUACUGCAGCUGACGGGGCAGGAACUCCUGUCUGCCUGUCCCCUGGCCUAGGGGUGGCCCUGGCUGCCACAGGCGGUCCCAGCGCUGUCGGUGGAGCUGUAUUCAUGUUGGCAGUGUUUGGGAAACAUUGCUACUGCAAACGGGGUAGUGUGUGUGUAACCACCUAAGUAAAGCACAGCUGGCCCUUUCAUACUUCUGACUUUUGGAUGGAGAAGACUUUUGGACUCCUACAGCCUUCUAAGUAGGGCUCCUUAGGCACCUUUACCUCCACUCUGCUGCUCAGCUUUCCAAGGAACUGAGAUAACAAUAUUGACCUUCUUAGCCGAGCACUUUCCCGUAUUUUUAUGAGAUAUGCUACAUAAAAACUGAUUGUCAGGUUUUGUUCAGCUAUAAAAUGUCCUUAACUGUGGGGCAUGGUAUGUUAUCAGCCAUAAAUAAGCCCUUAUGUUGAUCUUUAGCAUUUAGGGAUAGACCUUUGUUCUGCUUAGUUACUUAUAAUCUUUGGAGUGGUUUGGCCUGGGUUUGGUUGUGGGGGUUUUUGUUGCUGCUUUCUGUGUGCAGAUAUAUUGUGUACAUAUGGUUGACUUUUGCUUCUGCUAGGGCCAAAGAUUGCUUGGUUUGGUUGAAUGUACAGAUGUGGAGUGGCAUCAGUCGAGUGACAGGCCUGUGAUCUGCCAUUCACCACAUUUCCUCUGAAAUAUAAGGAAGUUAGUUUGCUAACAGACAAGAAACUGGGUAAACUGCUUUAAAAUUCAUUCCUUUAAAAUGAAUAAAGGACUAUGAUGCCCUAGAAAUAAUCUGCCUUUGCUUCAGCAUCCACUCUAUGAACAUUUUAUGCUGACAGACGGAGCUUGUCCAUUCACUGCAAACAGCCUUCUCCUUUACCAUAAUAAAACGUAUUUUCCUAUGUGUAGCCUCUGAAGAAGAAAAGGAAUUCCUUUUUUGUCCAUAGGGCAGUUGAAAGCUUUGUCCCCAGCCUGGGCAGCAUGGUGCAAGGGUGGCAGUGUGGAGGAGUGCUGGAGUUCACAAAAGAUGGCAUCCUGGCACACUGGCACUCAGGAGCCUUGGGUAGGUUCCUAUUAAACAGCAUUUCCAGUGCAAUAUCUAGCUGAGAAUAGCAAGAAGUGGCAGACAGACAAAAAGGAAUCACAGAUAACAUUAGUUCAAAGUCAUAAUCAUAGAAGGAGCAGCAAAGCCAAGCCCUAAAUAGUUCCCAUGGCCUAAUACUUCUUGUUCUGAGAAGCUGUGUCUGGAUAUGCCAAAGGCGUACAAUACAAAAUGUGGAGAAGCCCAGGUUCUGGGCUGGCUGAUACUGGAGCUCUCUGGCCACAGUCCUGGGAAGUGGCAGUAGUGGUGGGACAGUGCUGACAACAGCAAUGAUUGAGUUUAGGGCGUUAACCAUUCUUUGUCUUAACAGAUCACUUUAAAAACUGGAGCUGGGCAGGCUCCCUGACAGGCUCUUCAGGAAUGUGAACCCAGCAGCAGGGUGGUUUUGCUAGGGACUAAUCUACCCAUCCAGGCAGAGAUCAGCUUGAAGGCAGCAAUUUCCUUGGAGGGUAGAAGAGAGACAGAAACAGAAGAGAGCCAAGCAGGCUCAGAUGUAGCUGGGGGUGGCUUCAGCAGUGUGACCCCAAACAAAAUCUGAGGGAGGGACUUUGGGCACAGUGCUUUCAAGAAAGACACAUAGAAUUGCAAACAAAACCUCUUCUUUCUGGUUUGGCCUUGGUUCUAAAAGUUCAAGGACAAAGAGCUUUGUGCAUUCGGUGUUAAUCAAGAGCAUUGAUACAGGGAAUUACCAACUCCAUCAGCAUUCUUAUCCCAAUGGAACCAACCCAAAAUAACUCUCACCCCAAAAUGAUCAGGGCUGCAUAACUGAUGUGGGCUGAAAAUAAUAGUGGUUUAUAUAUUUCUUAAGAAAAAGUUCUUAUUUUAAAGAGAGUUGAAGGCAGCAAAGAGUUGGAUAGGCUAUUAUUCUCCAAUCGAUUCAAUUUUUAAGUCUUACUUAAAGAAUGCUAAUUUUAAAUGAGAUAUUCUUCUGAUCAUUUCUACAAUUGAAGAGAUGUAAAUUCACAUUCAUAAUGAAUGUUUUUUUUUUUAAAUAUUUGAUUGCAGUAAUCCAAAUGAUCCUAUUUAAUAUCAAGGACAGAGCUGGUAUCUAUUUUUUGGUAAGUACUUUGCAUAGCAUACUCCAUACAGUUAAAAUUUUUUGAGAAUGGUUUUAGAAGGCACAACUCUUUGGUAGGACAGUCCUGGUUGGUGGCAUGAAGACACUCCUCCUGCAGAGCACCAUCCAUGGUGCUAAAAGUUGCAAAUUCCAGGUUCUUUGUCCUAAUAAUCUUUUACUGCCUUGUUCUAAUCUCCAGCAUCACCUACUCAGACUUCAAAGAAAAAGAUGUGAUCAUUAACAACUGUCUUCUCUAUUUAGCUUUCAUUUUACCCUGUUUGUCAAGUCUUAGUUUGGUUGCCAAAAUUCCUACCCAGUUAUACCCUCUCAAAUCUGAAAACAGCUUCCUUCAGCCUUGCAAGGUUCGUUUGAUUGGCUUCCCAUCCUCAAGGUGAUGAAUUUCAAACACCGCAAUCUUUGGAAACUAAAUUAAAUCUUCCGUUCUCAGGACUGUAUGUAUUAAGUCUUGGGAAAACAGUUUUGGAGGGAUUUUGACCAAUGCAAGUCAGUCUGAUAAAAUUCCUUAGAACAAUGUAGGUUUUAUAUGGUAAGUACACGCACUUAGAGACAAGGAAAAAGUGUAAGAAAUGCUAUUUGUUUCUGUGGCUAAGAUAAAUAAUCGUCAUUAUUAACAGAAAAGACAAAAAGCAGAUGUCAUAGAUAAGUUGGUGAUAAUGGGCUGUUAAAAAUAGGAACAUUUUUGUGUGUUCUGUCAGGUAAUAUAUAAAUAUUUUAGUUGAGCCGAGUUUUGGGUCAAAUAGCUUUCUUAGGAUUUAUAAAAGAUCAAGAAUCAGAUUUUCAGAAAAGCAGCAGUUGAGUGUAGUGCACAUGAGAAACAAAUCUGUCCCUGCGACACCUUCAGGUUUCCUGAGCUGAAAGUUACAGCUAGACAAGGUCACAGGGAGUUACAGGGCCAUGGUGUACCUGCUAGCCACUACAGUGCUUUAUCAUGAAUUAUUACUGUUCAGAUACUAUGUUGCCUGCAGUUUGUAGAUACUGAAAGAAUUUUAAGAGGGUCAUAGUCAGAAUUUCUCAGUAUAACACCAGAAGCCAAGCAUUUCACUUCUAACAGAGAUUCAUGGCUUCAGACAAAAAUACCCACUCUCCCUUUGUUCCCUCUUUAAAUAAGGGCUAAGAUUUGUGUCUCAUGAGACGUUGUGAGAUUAAUUUUUUCUUGUGUGCAUAAACUGUUGUGAAGGUAGAAAGGUUCAAGUCUCACUUGACAACAGCCUUACAUUUACAGUCCAAAUGGAGCAGGCCCUGUGCCUCCUCGGAAAGGGACAAACAGCUUGGAACUCGGCAAGUAUUCUUUCCAGCUAGAACAAAUACAAUUUUGCAGUCCAUUGAUUUCCAUUUACAAUGCCAAGUUUUAUUUAUUUUUUUUAAUAUCUAUAUGCCACAACACCAACUUCCUUUCCCCCUCCACCCUUUUAAAAUGAAGUGUGACUGUCACAUGGUCCUCAUUAGCUGAGAGAGAUUUUAGUUAGGAUAAGUUAAGGAUCAGCAGACAGACAAAACAGGGCCAUUUUGGGAAAGCCUUCAUGAUGAUGCAGCCCAAAAUAGUUUUCUCCUUAUGUGAGAGAGUUUAGGAUUUCUGAGUAUAUUCUACUACUAUGCAGCUGCAUGAACUAUGUAGGGGGGCCUCACACAUACAGAGAUAGGGCAGAGUUACACACCUGCAUCCUAGGUGCUGUUUUUAUGACUCUUAACAAAUCAUGGUAGCAAAUGCAUGGCUGUUACUUGCAGAAAAUUCUCUCCUCUUGUCUGACCCUCCCUGCACUGCACCAUGUGCUGCCUAGCAUAGUGCUGCAAAGCAUCAAUCCAGAGUCCUCCUGAUGUUGAAAGGCAGGUGCUGAGAGUGGAUACUGCUUUGGGAUCCUCUCCACAGAGCCUGCUUUGGGGCCCUUAAAGCAACAGGGCAUGAACCCUUCCAGCUUCCCUUCAGCUGCUGUGGGGGUCACUGUCACUGUGACUGUGACCAAACAGUGCCGGCCACCAUGGAAUGAGCAGAGGAGUCCAGGGCAGAAGGGUACAGGUGGUGGUGGUGUCUCACCCAGAGAAAGCAGGCUACUGCUACUGCCACAGGCACUGGAGAGGUGGGGAUGGCUGGGAAGGAGGAGGGAGAAGGGAGGGAGAGGGAGUAGCUCCUGUCAAGGGGAGCCAUGCACUGAUACGGUCUAUACUGCUGGAAGAAGGAAAGUUCUGGCUGAUAAUAGAAAGUAUGCACAAUAUGUAGGGGUUAUGAAGAGAAUUUGACCUAUCAGUGAAUUAAAUAUGAAGAAACUUGCAUUGUCACUGCUCACUCUGACUGGUGCUUAUGGGUGAUUGGAAGAUCAGACUGUCAGGCUGUCAGCUCCUAUGAGUACUAACUUUCCCCUGUAAGGGAGAUGGCCAUUUUCCCAACAAUGGCCCCAGCUCUUUCAGUUACAGCCAGUCAAGUCCCAUGACAUCAAAUAUUAAUCUGGCACAGAACUUGGGCUGUCCGAGUACAUUUUAUAACCAACAGCAUAUCAAACCCUUUGGACCUGAUGACACUCGCUCCUUUGUUGUCACAUCAGUCAGUCACUUUAACCCAGAUUCUCAGUCAAUUCAAAGGAAAGAGAAUGGCACUUCAGAGAACUGACUACUGCAAAAGGACUUUAAAAAAUGAACAGAAGGAAGGCAGGACUGAGCCUCGUCACAAAAGAUCCCACCAUAAAAUCGGGAGAGCGCACAAGAAGCCUCAGAUGACCUUGCAGCAAGAGGCUGUGUUGCUGUUUUGCAUACAGUUUUCUCUCCAGGGGCAGGCCUUGGAUCAUCCCAAAUCUAGUCUUUGGGCUCCCAGCUACUUAAGAGCAUUGGUCCUGAUCUUUUUGCAUAACAGCAUUUAUAUUCAUUUUAUAGCAGAAUUUCUUUCUGUAUAACAGAUAUUUCUAAUACUGUGAAAGCAAACAAAAAUCAGAAAUCAGAUUUCCCAGCUGGAGCGUGGGAAGACAGGGCCAUGGUACUGGUCUCUUCCCAUUUUCCUUGCCUGACCAUGACACCUCUGAUGUGGCAGUGAGGCAGCUUCUGCCUAUGCUUUCUCUAUCAUCCAGAAUUGGCAUGAUGCUUUUAUCCACUUCUAGUUUUGCAAGGAAAAAGCAGCUCUUUAAACAGUUAUCAGAGGGCUGAGAAUACAAGCACAGCACAUUAACAAAACCAUUCCAGUGAGCAGGGGGAGGGGGCAGGAAAUGACAAAAAUGAAAGGAAUUUUGCUCUUCUCUAGACAAGCCCAGAGACAGUAAGAGAAAAUUAUAACUUGACCUUAAAUUCUUGAAAGGAAGCAAAGAAAUAAAAUUUAGGCUCAAGAAGAUUCCUUCCUAAUAACUUGAACCAAAAGCCAAUGCACAUUAACAUGGGGACUGGAGGGUUCAGAGAAAUAGCUGGAAAUUGUACGCCUGUAGUCUUGGAGGAAAAUAUAGGAACUCCCUUAAUUCAGUAAUAUACCUGGCCUCAAGAAAGGGAAGGCAUUGGUAUGGGCUCUAUUCCUGACCUUGUAAUGUGCAGAAUAGAUGGUUCAGGGGACAGGUAAGGAAUCCAAGGCAGCUUUUUAAAUGGUCAGAGGGAUUCUGCCAUGGACUCUUUUUCUGAAGGUGUUUCUGACUGAUCUGGAGUGGGAGAAAGGAUCAGAAGACCAACAUUAUUGUUCUCAAUUGCAGAAUCGCCUGUUAAAUGAUGGUUUAGAGGCAUAAGCUACCCCUGCUAUGCACAACAGUGUACUUCAGGGUGUUCUCUGAAAACUGGUAAGAACCAUUGGUAUUUCCAAAGUUGGGUACAAGUACCUGAGCCUGAGCUGUUUAUAUUUAAGAACAAAAAGUUAGCAAAUAAAGAAGAAGGAGACCGAAACAUGUUUUUUAAGGAUGCCUGAGAGAACUCAAAGUGUCCGUGAAAAGCUACUUCCAUGGCAAUGGAGUACAAAAUUAAAAUUAAUUGCUAAGGCUUAAAAGUAAUUACUGUCUGAAGGACUGAUAAUCUUGUGUCUGUUCUAGCAAGUGUUUGAACAUGCAUGUGAACACACACACACACACACAUAUCCACAGCCCAUCUUAGUUGCUGGUUCCCUUUGAGGCAGCUUCUGCUGCAAGGACAAAGGCAAAAUAAGCUCAGGGAUGGGAAGACUCUCUCAGUCCUUGGUAUUUCCAUUACAGGAGUUGCAGCAUAGCAGUCAGUGCAGCAGUUAUUCUGCAAAUGGAGAGCUCUGGUCUAGUGCUGUCAGUCUCACACCCGCUGUUCGUGAACACCUACAUUUCGCUUAAAAAUAGGAUCGUAAGACCUGUGAAUACAAAUGGGCAGAAAUUUUACUAUUUAAAGGGAAGUUCUGGAGAAAUGGUAUCAUAUAUGUAGCUCUUUCUAAAAUGCCAAAGGCACCCAGGAUUACUUGUUCUGCAACCUCUGUUUUCUGUGUCCAGCCAGUAGAUGGAUGAAACUCACAUCCUGUGUGGGACUAUCCCUUCCCCCAACUGCCUGCCUCCUGCCAUGCUCCACUGCACUACUGCUUAGGCAAAAGCAUUUGCCAAAGUUGGGAAAGGACUGGAAAUCACAUGGAUUUGCAGCUGGCAGCCUUAAUGUUUGCCUGAGUAAUCAAAGCUGGUGGCUUGGGGAUGAGCAGCAGGAAGUGCAGGAGGUAUGCUCACUGCCUCCAAGGGAUGCUCCAGCAAGGGAGAAGCAGCCAGAGGGAGAGCACUAAGGGCCAACACCAUCCAGCCCAGCAGCACAGCCUUCUCAAGCUCUGGUAGCUUCAGACAUGUGAGAUGCAGAAUGUCACAUGUUGUGAGGGGUCGUGGAGGUGUGAGGGGAGCAGAGGGAGGGCAGGAUGAUGGAGGAUGACAGUGGAGGCACUAGGCUGGGUCUGUGGUUCAGGGGCUCCCUUAACCAGCCCUUUGCUCACUAUAUGUUGGCCAGUUUUAGUGGGUGUUUGCACAGUUCUCAGCUUUCUGAAGAAGUGAGAUGACUUCCACUUAUGCAUUCCUGUUAUUUAAAGGGGAAAGCACGGUGUUUGAACAGGAAUGAAGGCAUCAAUACCUGAUACCCCUUUUGCCAGGUAAGCCAAGAGCAUGAAUGGGAUGAUCUGCCAGUCGCAAGGCAUUAAAUAUUUUUGCUUUGACUUACACCAGCUCUGAGCUGUUGUCAGAAAAACGAUUAGCUGCUUACAUCCAGACACUAAGCCAAAUCCUGGCUCCAGUGAGGCCAGUCAUAAAACUCAAAUUGAUUUCAGCAGCAAUAGAAAUUAGUCUUCUAGGCAAUGGUCAAGAGAGAGGAGUUGGAUGGCAGUUUGCUAUCACCUGACAAUGCAAGUUUAUGUUAAAUUCACUCAAGGUUGUGAUACAUUGAAAACUGGUGGGUGAGUGUGCAUACAGCACCAGGGCACGGCAGUACAGCACUAGGAGACCUAGUGUUGGUAGCUACUGACAGUGAUUUCCAAAGUUUCCUGCAAGUUCAGUUGACUACCUUAGGAAUUGAGAGACAUGGACAUCCUGGCUCCCAGCUGUGCAUGACUGACAGGCUAUGUCAUAUCGCUUAGUGCUGAAAAUUUGUUCAUUUAAUUACUCAGCCAGACAGAAAUAUUAAAUGCUGUUCCAGAAUUCUUUAUUACAGUAUAUGCUUUCCAGUAACUGCCUCACUUGCUCUCCACUAGCAGAGAGAAAAAAACCCUCCCCCUGGAUUUUUACUGCCUGUAAGAGUAAACACCUCUUAGAAAGAGAAUCUUUUCUUUUGCCAUUUUCUUUUUCUGGCUGCAUUUAUAUUGGUCUCAAGAAAAUGUGCAAAUUGCUGUGGAUGUUCUUUAAUGUCCAUUUAGAUUUUCCUCUGUCUUUUAAGGAAAUGCUCAUGGACCAUAUUUUUUUAUUUCCUCUUUGCUUUUCAUUUCUACAUAAUUUCCCAUUGUGACUUUUUAAACCCCUUAUUUUCAGAUUCCAUUCUGCACACAUAUGAAAUAAGUUACAUUUCAUUCUAUUCUAGACCUAAAUUCUACAUUCACCAUUAAUCUCAACUGUUUUCUCUUAGACUGCAUUAAAAAAUCUGCAAUUCAGAGUCCUGUCUGCUGUCCUGUGGUAACUCAAAUCUUAGAUUUAUUAUAUUUGCCAACAGUAAAUACUGUAUCCAUUUUUAGAGAAUGAUCCAAUCUGCUUGAAUUUCCUGAUCUUUCUUCUCAUUCCUUUGUUAUGAUAUGCUUUUUGCCUCUUAAUUGUUUCCAUAUGAAAUGGCCUCAGUCACAGUGGCUGCGAUGAAUAACGUCCAUCUCAAACUCUCAGGGCUUUGAUCACAGCAGAUAACCAUGAACUGGUUACUCCCUGCCUUCAGCAGCACUCCUUAUGGACAAGUAAUAAGUUCUGCAGCAUUGGACUUCUUUCAUGUAAUGGAAGAUAAUGAGGCACAGCAAGAAGCAGAUUUAUUGUGCCCUAUGGAAAAGUAUCAACCCAAAGGCAGAUUGUCAGCUCCUUAACUUGGUCUUCUCUGUGUCACUGAGUUGAUGUAAUGAGGCUUUAGCAUGGUCCCAGCCAGCCAGUGGUGGAUUUCCUUCAAGGCAGAGGAUGUCCCCAGAGGUAAGAAAGAUGUCCCAUGUCCCCACCUGCCUUCACUGCCCAGCGAAGGAGAUGGCACGAGAGGGAAGAGGCAAAGAGAUGCAGCCUGAGCAGCAGAGGGCUGUGAUACUUGCCUGCUCGAGCAGCUUGCACUAAUUUGAGCAGCCCAAAGGUCACGACUAUUUAUGCAGAUAAAAGGUCAAUGGCAAGCUGGCAUGUGGCUGCAGGCUAUCUUGGUACGCACUUCACCCGGGGCACUGGUGCAGGCUUCUGAUUCACAGUUUGUCUUUCUGCAUGAACUUUCAGGCCAAGCUUUGGCUGGGAAAAAAAAAUCUCUGCCACGGGAGUUGACAUAGUUAGGAUCCAGACGCAAUUUUUUUUGUGGCUCAGGCCCAUCUGUAGCUAAAUCAAACCUGUGAAUCAUUAUUUAUAAAAGUAGCCAAAUUCUGAACUGUUUGCUCAGUAUUUAAGCGGCCCUUGUGUUGGAUAAACCCCUCUGAAAGCAUGCCUGAGUGGAAAUAGAGGAAAAAGUGAGUAAGAUGCUCAGGAUGUGACCUGCUGAAAGAAAGCCAAUGAAAAGCCUACUGAAUUCAACAGAGGUGGAUUCUUCAGCUGUUAGUGUGUGUGGACAUAAAUCUCUUUAAACAUGCAGGAUCUCAGAGCACAAGACUUAAUGACAGGGUUUGAAUUUCCAGAGCAGUUUCAGCUUAGGUGAAACAAUGUAUGUUUAGGUAAAAAAGGGAAGUAGAUAUACUAAGUUAAUCUAGUCAGAUUCUACACUGUAUUUCAAAUUUUACAGUCAAUAAAUGCUUCACCCUUUGCUGUGGUGAAAAUUAAAAUAUAUUUUAACUUUCAGUUCCAGCAGUCUGUUGCCUGCACUGGUUUUAAAGAAAAUCCUUUCGACUUCUCCUGUAAAUCAGUCCCAUAUGCCCUGGUCCCCAGUAGGAAGUAUGGAAAAUAUUUUGUGACAUUUAAUUACUCCAAAAAAAAGGUAAUGGGAAAGCAUCAUUACAUUGAUUUGUUUUUCAUCACAGAGGUAUUUGGCACCAUGCCCUAAUUAAGGCUGCAGCAAUAACUCUAUUAUAAGCAGUGCUUUGCCUCCCCCAGGAAUUUUUUAAUAGUUACCUAUGAUUCUGUCCUUUUUGUUUGUUAAUAAAAAAAAUAUAUGUUAGGAUGAAAACCUUUCAUGUCGAAAGCCACCAAAACUAAGAGUCUUCAGAUCCAGAAAAGCAUAUUUUUCCUCUUAUUUCUUCCUGUCAAAAUGGAGAAUGACCAAGUACUUCCUUGACCCCUGUCUUCCUAGAUCUUCACAUGAGGGGAAGUUUAAACAGUUGCUUGGAUGCACCUUGUCAAAUUGUGAUGAUAAUAACUGGGUGGUGCUUCUCACAGACAAAGGCUUCUGCCCCACGGGUGGGAGAGCUGGCGACUCUUGAUGGCUUCCUCUUACAGCUCAUCAAAGGAAAGAAAAAGAAGCCUUUGCAGAAUCUGAAAAUAUUGGAAUACAUUCUGCAAUUUUCUGGACUUUAUGCUGCUUCUUGUAAGUGCUACAGUAUUAUUUCCAGUCCCAGGAAAACAGAACUGUACUAAAGAGGAUGACUGUGGGAUUUCUGUUAUCUUGGAGUAAAUAUGGGGUUUAUGCUUUCCCUCCUAUUAAGGUAUUUUAGAAAAUGAAACACAGAAAAAGAAAGAUCUUGCUCAGAGUUAGCAUGAGGGCUAUCUAUUCUUGUACUUCAAGAACACAGUUUAGAAAUGGGAUAUCUUACUGCCUCUGUCCAGGCAGCAUUCUCAUCUUCCAGAAUGAUACACUGGUGAGAUGAAGACCUAGAGCUAGGUCUUCCUCAUAAGAGCACAGAAAAUACUUCAGGUUUAUGGACAAUGUUCCAUCAGAAAUCAUGAUAAAAUGGAAGCAGUUGUUAAUCUCUUUGAAACUAAGAAAAAAAUAAAAAGAUUGUGAGUCCCA